GUUAGUUUAUCGUAAAAGUUAGAUGUUUUAUUGUCCUUGUAAACGUGUUUGUUUUUUAUUGUGGUUUGGUUUCCCUGAUGCUGCCUGAAGUUCUCGCUGGAUUUCAGGGCUCAGGUGAGGAUUCCUCUGACAGUUUGAAUCCAGAUUUGGAGGUUUAGACAGGACCUGGACUCAGAGCAACGCGUCUGUCUGAUUUUCUUCUUGUCAGCGGUUAAGACGAUCGCGCAGACAGCCGAGUGAGUG